GUGUGUGGGAGGGGGGGGGGGCAAGAAUGGUAAGAUAAGGAAGACAGGCAGGAGGGAAGCGCAAAGAGAAAAACAUUCAUGUAGAAAAGCGCUGAGUCAUCCUCCCCAUCUGUCUGUUUCCACCAUUUCCCUCCCUCUCUUACUUAGUGUCUUUGUCCUUGCACUAAAUCUUCCCUGCUAAGAGGCGGAAACUGACAGGCGCUUUGGUUCCAUCUUGAAUAAAAAGAGGGCGGGGGUGGAAGUGUUUCUUCACUGAAGAAAGUAGGGCCACAACUACUAAAAAGAGAAGCACAAAAGAGGCGGAACACAUUUUUUUCUCACAGCACACACAACAGGACUGCUGGCAUCCAUGCUUUUGGGAUCGAGGCCUCAGAAUGCAGCCGCCGCAACCUUCACCUCAAUUGUCCUCGGACACGAGGGGGCCUGAUCUGCUACGUUUUCAUUCGCUCGCCCUACAACCAGAGUCACAUCACGUCGACGAAGAACUCGCCGGUGUUGCCCACGGACAUUCGCAGGGACUGGCGUGACGCGGGUUGGAGGCGUGCUGGAGCCUAUCUUAGCUAUCUUCGGGCAAGAGGCGGGGUACACCCUGAACUGGUCACCAGCCAAUCGCAGAUUGGAGGCUUUGGGUUUCCGCCUGCGGCGUCUGUGUCGUCUCAUUAAACGAGAGGAACUCUGUUCUGUGGAGCUACUAAACCUGGGCAACAGAAGAGACAUAUCUCUGUGUGAAAAUACUCUUCCACAAGAGGCACUUAAUAGAUAAUUAUAGUGACCUCUGAAAAAAAAUUACACUUAAAGAUGGUGACUUUCAGUAUGCAAUGGAAACCUAAAGUUCAGGGGGUGGUCACUAAAAAGCUGUUGGCGGAGCAGUAGAACAAGCUUUCUUUCAAACUUCCUUGACUGUAAUUCCAGAGGUAUUCCGCUAACAAAACAUCUUUUGUCAUCGCUAAUUGUAAAGUACAACUCAACACUCUGAAAAGCAACAUCUGACCUGCUGGUAGCGUCAUCAUCCUCGGAAUCAAAGCAGGAAGUGGACUCCAGCUCGCUGCUCAUGAAAGAGGAGCAGCUGUCAUACUCCACCCCUCCGCGCCCCGCCGGCCGUGACGAGUACCCAUUCUGCCUACCACCUGUGGAGGAAACAAAGCAUCACGAGUGGGAGAACCUACUGCUUCGUCGAGACAAGACAAAAAGAGGAAUCCCAACGGAGAUAGCACACGUAGAUGUGAAGCUACAAAAUAAAA